rnacentral:tRNA from 1 species
GCGCCAUUAGCUCAGUUGGUAGAGCAGCUGACUCUUAAUCAGUCGGUCCGGGGUUCGAAUCCCUGAUGGCGCA